rnacentral:lncRNA from 1 species
AACGAACCGAAAAAUUAUUUUCGGCAUGAAAAAUAUUUUUUCACUCGUUUGGUUCGACAUAAAAAUAGUUUUUUCUAAAAAUAUUUUUACGGAUUUAGGAAAAAAUUGAAUUUUUCAUUUUCAGCUAUUUUUCGGCGGAAAACGAAAACUCAAGUUGUAUAAGAUUUUUUUCAUUAAUUUUUUUUUCAUCGAACUAAACAAAUGUGAAUUUUUUUUUCCUUUCAACUAGAUAAAUAUUGAUAAAAAAUUACUUUGUUUUUUUUCCUACAAACUAAACAGUACAAAACGAAAAUUUUUCCCACCAAUUUUUCUUUUAAAAUGUAAAAUUACGUUUUA